AACCUUUACACUGCACGACAGUGCGAUAGGGGGACUCCGAGUGCGAGGGCAUAUAGUCCUCGCUUUUCUGUACCGUAAGGUGGUACAGGAACAAGUGCUGGGCAAGACCGGUGCCAGCCGCCGCGGUAAUACCGGCAGCACGAGUGAUGGCCGCUAUUAUUGGGCCUAAAGCGUCCGUAGCUGGCCAGUCAAGUCCGUUGGGAAAUCGGCGUGCCUAACACGUCGGCGUCCAGCGGAAACUGUCUGGCUUGGGACCGGAAGACCCGAGGGGUACGUCCGGGGUAGGAGUGAAAUCCCGUAAUCCUGGACGGACCGCCGGUGGCGAAAGCGCCUCGGGAAGACGGAUCCGACAGUGAGGGACGAAAGCUGGGGUCUCGAACCGGAUUAGAUACCCGGGUAGUCCCAGCCGUAAACGAUGCUCGCUAGGUGUGGCGCAGGCUACGAGCCUGCGCUGUGCCGUAGGGAAGCCGUGAAGCGAGCCGCCUGGGAAGUACGUCUGCAAGGAUGAAACUUAA
rnacentral:rRNA from 1 species